GAUGAACGCUGGCGGCGUGCCUAAUACAUGCAAGUCGAGCGAACGGACGAGAAGCUUGCUUCUCUGAUGUUAGCGGCGGACGGGAGAGUAACACGUGGAUAACCUACCUAUAAGACUGGGAUAACUUCGGGAAACUGUAGCUCAUACCGGAUAAUAUUUUGAUCCGCUUGGUUCAAAAGUGAAAGACUGUCUUGCUGUCACUUAUAGAUUGAUCCGCUCUGCAUUAGCUAGAUGGUAAGGUAACGGAUUACCAAGGCAACGAUGCAUAGCCGAACUGAGAGGGCGAUCGGCCACUCGUGAGCUGAGAUGAGGUCCAACCUCCGACGGGAGGCAGGAGUAGGGAAUCUUCCGCAAUGGGCGGAAGCCUGACGGAGGAAAGGCGCGUGAGUGAGGAAGAUCUUCGGAUCGUAAAACUCUGUUAUUAGGGAAGAACAUAGGUGUAAGUAACUGUGCACAUCUUGACGGUACCUAAACAGAAAGCCACGGCUAACUACGUG
rnacentral:rRNA from 1 species